AUGCGGCGAGGGUGCGGCGGCGGUGAGACGAAAGAGACGCUAGUGCUAGUGCUGGUCGAGCGCGUUGGGGCCGGAGCAGUAGCUGCGGUAGGGGUCCCAGACCCACUGCACCAGGAACCUGCGCCCGCCGACGCCGUUGAGGUUGUAGGAGGCGCCGGACCUGCCGUCGGUGAGCAGCUGGCCGGUGUAGGCGCCGCCGCCGCCGGUGCCGUAGAUGCCCUCGCAGAGGUCGGCGAUCUCGGUGGGGAAGGAGGGGUCCCCGCCGGCGUACCACGCGUUGGCCAGCGGGUUGGACGCCAUCUCGGCCAGCUCGUGCGCGAUGACGCUCACCAUGCCGUCCACCCCCGGGUCGCCGUUGGGUGGCGCCUCGGGCCGGCGCCCCGGCACGUAGGCCGGGAUGGCGAACGGGUAGGCGCACACCUCCGGGCACCGCCCCGCCGAGUUGCCCACCCACGCGUAGGGGAGCGUGUACCCGACCACGGACGGGAAGGUGAAGUAGUGGAAGCCGCACACCUGCCCGCAGAAGUUCUCCACGCGCACCUCCGGCGACGUGAGCACCAGGUACACCCCCCCGGCGUCCACGGGCAGCGGCCUGGUGCGCGCGGUCACCGCGUCCUUGACAACGGUCUGGAUGUCCAUCCGGGACAGCGAGGCCCCCCGCGACAUCCGCGCGUCGCACUUCUCCUGGCCGAGCGCCACCACGGCCGACACGUUCGCCGUGGUCUGGUCCGUGUAGAGCCGGACGGUGCGCCACCAGUCCGCCACCGACGGCGACGGGACGGCGCCCUCCUUCUCCCCGGAGGCCUGCGGCGAGAGGGAGCGCAGGAAGGCGCGGAUGGUGCGCUUCUGCUCGGCGGGCCAGGCGCCGUACCAGAUCGGGUGGACGGUGAUGUCGGCGGCGAGGACGGGGCCCAUGUGGUACUCGAGCUUGACGAAGUCGGACGACCCCUCGAACUUCUUGGACGCGCCGAGGCCGGCCAGGGCGCCGCUGGCGUCGCGCGGCGGCCACGGGCGCCACGCCACGGCGAGCGGCGCCGCCGCGAGGGCGAGGACGAACACGAGGACGGCGCCGCGGUGCGGCAUCUCGGCUGGCUUCGAGGGGAAUGUCGCCUGGUUUACUUUACCGGAGGUUCUUGGCCGGGGAUGCUUUAUAGAGGGUGGGGAACGGUGGUGGUGAGAGUCUGA
rnacentral:rRNA from 1 species